rnacentral:rRNA from 1 species
CCUACGGGUGGCUGCAGUGGGGAAUAUUGCACAAUGGGCGCAAGCCUGAUGCAGCCAUGCCGCGUGUGUGAAGAAGGCCUUCGGGUUGUCAAGCACUUUCAGCGGGGAGGAAGGCGGUGAGGUUAAUAACCUCAUCGAUUGACGUUACCCGCAGAAGAAGCACCGGCUAACUCCGUGCCAGCAGCCGCGGUAAUACGGAGGGUGCAAGCGUUAAUCGGAAUUACUGGGCGUAAAGCGCACGCAGGCGGUCUGUCAAGUCGGAUGUGAAAUCCCCGGGCUCAACCUGGGAACUGCAUUCGAAACUGGCAGGCUAGAGUCUUGUAGAGGGGGGUAGAAUUCCAGGUGUAGCGGUGAAAUGCGUAGAGAUCUGGAGGAAUACCGGUGGCGAAGGCGGCCCCCUGGACAAAGACUGACGCUCAGGUGCGAAAGCGUGGGGAGCAAACAGGAUUAGAUACCCGAGUAGUC